GACGAACGCUGGCGGCGUGCUUAACACAUGCAAGUCGAACGCUGAAGCUCAGCUUUUGUUGGGUGGAUGAGUGGCGAACGGGUGAGUAACACGUGAGUAACCUGCCUCCUUCUUUGGGAUAACGCCCGGAAACGGGUGCUAAUACUGGAUAUUCACUGGUCUUCGCAUGGGGGUUGGUGGAAAGGGUUUUUCUGGUGGGGGAUGGGCUCGCGGCCUAUCAGCUUGUUGGUGGGGUGAUGGCCUACCAAGGCUUUGACGGGUAGCCGGCCUGAGGGGGUGACCGGUCACAUUGGGACUGAGAUACGGCCCAGACUCCUACGGGAGGCAGCAGUGGGGAAUAUUGCACAAUGGGCGAAAGCCUGAUGCAGCGACGCCGCGUGAGGGAUGGAGGCCUUCGGGUUGUGAACCUCUUUCGCUCAUGGUCAAGCCGCAACAAUGGUUGUGGUGAGGGUAGUGGGUAAAGAAGCGCCGGCUAACUACGUG
rnacentral:rRNA from 1 species